rnacentral:rRNA from 1 species
UAAGGAGGGUGCAAGCGUUAUCCGGAUUCACUGGGUUUAAAGGGUGCGUAGGUGGGCAGGUAAGUCCGUGGUGAAAUGCUAUAGCUUAACUAUAGAACUGCCAUGGAUACUAUUUGUCUUGAAUGUCGUAGAGGUAAGCGGAAUAUGUCAUGUAGCGGUGAAAUGCUUAGAUAUGACAUAGAACACCAAUUGCGAAGUCAGCUUACUAUGCGAUGAUUGACACUGAGGCACGAAAGCGUGGGUAGCAAACAGG